rnacentral:sRNA from 1 species
CCGUACAGUGCCAUUGACAGCACCACCGC